rnacentral:lncRNA from 1 species
CCGGUAAGCGGUAAGAUAGGACGCGCGUGCGCUCCCGAGUCCCGCGUAGAUAUAUAGCAAAUGCGCGCGCGGUUCCAGCCAGUGGGAGGGAGAGGGAGAGGAGAAAGAACAAUCAGCCACGGAUUUAGGUGUUAAAAAGAGGCAAAAGGCUAGUGUUUAGUUGUUUAGUAGUAUAAAGAGCAAAGGCUAUUUGGUGAAGUUCUGCUACGGUUGAGAAACUUUCCUUAGAGUCUGAUGAUCAAUGACAAGAUCAAAGUAUGAGAUACAAGAACAUACGGAAGGAGCUGAGCGUAAUCUCAUUAGUAUGGCACGUGCCGUGCGAGCGCCUCCACUGGCUCCGCUGCCUCCAGACGCGUCACAAAGCCUGACUACGACGCUUUCAACGGCCUUCGACUCGAGGAGUAUGAGCUGUGAGCCUACCAGCUAAAUGAUGACCCCAUAUCACGGUGGCAACCGAGCACGUCAACCAUCCGUCCAGACUAGCGUUCUAUAGACUGUAGACGCCUGUAAACUAAAUACACGUAUUGACCUACAAUUUUUAGCCUUGGUUUAUGUUUUUAACGUUCUCAAUAUACUGAUUCACCGGAUGAGCUAACUAAUAAUUCCACAAUUACAUCGCUUCUCUAUAAACACUUACGUUUGCGUUUAUAAAUAUAAUAAGUAAUAAAAAAUAAAUACCAUUUGUUAGUAUAACGUA